AAACUCAAAGGAAUUGACGGGGCCCGCACAAGCGUGGAGCAUGUGGUUUAAUUCGAAGCAACGCGAAGAACCUUACCAGGCCUUGACAUGCAGAGAACUUUCCAGAGAUGGAUUGGUGCCUUCGGGAACUCUGACACAGGUGCUGCAUGGCUGUCGUCAGCUCGUGUCGUGAGAUGUUGGGUUAAGUCCCGCAACGAGCGCAACCCUAUUGCUAGUUACCAUCAUUAAGUUGGGGACUCUAGCGAGACUGCCAGUGAUAAACUGGAGGAAGGUGGGGAUGACGUCAAAUCAUCAUGCCCCUUAUGACCUGGGCUACAAACGUGAUACAAUGGCUGGAACAAAGGGAUGCGAAGCAGUGAUGUGGAGCGAAACCCAUAAAAACAGUCUCAGUUCGGAUUGAAGUCUGCAACUCGACUUCAUGAAGUCGGAAUCGCUAGUAAUCGCGGAUCAGAACGCCGCGGUGAAUACGUUCUCGGGGUUU
rnacentral:rRNA from 1 species